rnacentral:rRNA from 1 species
UACAGAGGGUGCGAGCGUUGUCCGGAAUCACUGGGCGUAAAGGGCGCGUAGGUGGUGGCUUAAGCGUGCGGUGAAAGCUCGGGGCUCAACCCCGAGUCGGCCGUGCGAACUGGGCUCACUGGAGCAUAGUAGAGGCAGGUGGAAUUCCGGGUGUAGCGGUGGAAUGCGUAGAGAUCCGGAAGAACACCGGUGGCGAAGGCGGUGAGCUGGGCAGUUGCUGACACUGAGGCGCGACAGCGUGGGGAGCAAACAGG